rnacentral:tRNA from 1 species
GGAGAUGGAUGCGUCACUGGUGGGCGCCCCGGACUUCAAACCCGCGCGUGGGGCACUAACACUGUCCUAGAUAGGUUCGAUUCCUAUACAUCUCCGCCA